rnacentral:rRNA from 1 species
UACGUAGGGUCCGAGCGUUGUCCGGAAUUACUGGGCGUAAAGAGCUCGUAGGUGGUUUGUCGCGUUGUUCGUGAAAACUCACAGCUUAACUGUGGGCGUGCGGGCGAGUACGGGCAGACUUGAGUACUGCAGGGGAGACUGGAAUUCCUGGUGUAGCGGUGGAAUGCGCAGAUAUCAGGAGGAACACCGGUGGCGAAGGCGGGUCUCUGGGCAGUAACUGACACUGAGGCGCGGAAAGCGUGGGGAGCGAACAGG